UUAACCUGUGGAUGGCCCAAGAACAUUGAAUUAGAUCCUUUACAUCAAGCCUCCCAGAAACAGCUAUUCAUCUAAUGAGAUUGUUUCCCUAUGGGAGAAGAAGAUUGGCAAGACCCUUGAAAGAAUCUAUGUUCUGGAGGACCAAAUUCUGAGGCAAAUUGAAGAGGCCCCGCGCCCGAGAAAUGUAAUGUUAUCACUCCAGCAUUCUGUUUUUCUGAAGGGAGAUCAAGCCAAUUUUGAGAUUGAUCCCUCGUUUGGGGUUGAAGCUUCUGAACUCUAUCCAGAUGUCAAAUACACCAGUGUCAACAAAUACAUUGAUCAUUUUUCUAUAUCGAUAUACCAUUUGCUUUUCUUGUUACUGAAAUAGAAUCUCCAUUGGCUAUACUUGAGGUGAAUGGUCAAGUUAGAUGGCUGAGUAUGGUUCUUUCCCAUUGUGGAUCUAAGUAUGAUCAAUAAGAUUAAUGCAAAUCAGCACACUUGGAUAAUGUAGAGGCCAGAGGUAUCUAUGUUGAAACAAGUGUCAACUUCCAUUACAGAGACUACUCUUCUCAACUUCAAAUUACACACAACAGAACGUGAAUCUUUCUUAUUCAUUUUCCGUAAGGUGCAGUAUUAAUCUCAGGCAGGAAGAAUGGACUUGCAGGAACGGAACUCAACCCUGGUUUCAUGGCUCCACGAGCCUUUUUCUUCCAGUCUGUGGCUGGGCUGUAGGUUCUGGUGCUGGUGCAAGAGGCUGGGAUGGUGACA